AAUAGAUACCCGGGUAGUCCACGCCGUAAACGAUGUCGACUUGGAGGUUGUGCCCUUGAGGCGUGGCUUCCGGAGCUAACGCGUUAAGUCGACCGCCUGGGGAGUACGGCCGCAAGGUUAAAACUCAAAUGAAUUGACGGGGGCCCGCACAAGCGGUGGAGCAUGUGGUUUAAUUCGAUGCAACGCGAAGAACCUUACCUACUCUUGACAUCCAGAGAACUUAGCAGAGAUGCUUUGGUGCCUUCGGGAACUCUGAGACAGGUGCUGCAUGGCUGUCGUCAGCUCGUGUUGUGAAAUGUUGGGUUAAGUCCCGCAACGAGCGCAACCCUUAUCCUUUGUUGCCAGCGGUUCGGCCGGGAACUCAAAGGAGACUGCCAGUGAUAAACUGGAGGAAGGUGGGGAUGACGUCAAGUCAUCAUGGCCCUUACGAGUAGGGCUACACACGUGCUACAAUGGCAUAUACAAAAGAGAAAGCGACCUCGCGAGAGCAAGCGGACCUCAUAAAGUAUGUCGUAGUCCGGA
rnacentral:rRNA from 1 species